AUUAGUUAAUAUUUUCAUGCUCAUAGGAUAAAUAUGACACCUUUUGCCCCACUAUUAUGAAAGUGUACAGCAGCAGGAAGUUCAGAGACGAGGAAGUUCCUGUGUGUGUUUGUGACUGAUCUGCAGUGACUUACAGCUCAGAGCACUGAGAGCCUCAACAGAGAACUGAACUGAUCUGAUUGAACAUGGACAGAUGCUUCAUACUGAUUCUCAUCGUGGGAACAGGUUUAGUGGCUGGAGACAGCAUUGAUCCAGAUAAAGGGACAGAACAAAACUCUCAAGAAACAGAAACUGUCAAGCUGAGCUGCUCAUAUACUACAAGUAGUGAAAAUGUUUGGCUUUACUGGUACAGACAGUAUCCCAACAGAGAACCACAAUAUUUAUUGCUCAAAGGUGCACGAUCGCGUAGCUCUGAUAAACACACCUCUGAUAAUCGGUUUCAGUCGACUGCAUCACGUACAUCCACUGAACUCACUAUCACUGAUGUACGUCUGUCAGAUUCAGCUCUAUAUUAUUGUGCUUUAAGAGUAAUACCCCAGUGAUACAAAAUAUGAGACAUGUCAUACAAAAACCUGAAGAUCUUUUCACUUUGAAAUUAUCUAGUGAAACCACAAUCAAA